UCGCCUACGGGGGGCUGCAGUGGGGAAUAUUGGGCAAUGGGCGCAAGCCUGACCCAGCAACGCCGCGUGAGGGAAGAAGGCUUUCGGGUUGUAAACCUCUGUCCUUGGUGACGAAACAAAUGACGGUAGCCAAGGAGGAAGCCCCGGCUAACUACGUGCCAGCAGCCGCGGUAAUACGUAGGGGGCGAGCGUUGUCCGGAAUUACUGGGCGUAAAGGGUGCGUAGGUGGCCUUUUAAGUUGGAUGUGAAAUACCCGGGCUUAACUUGGGGGGUGCAUCUAAUACUGGAGGGCUAGAGUGCAGGAGAGGAAAGCGGAAUUCCUAGUGUAGCGGUGAAAUGCGUAGAUAUUAGGAGGAACACCAGUGGCGAAGGCGGCUUUCUGGACUGUAACUGACACUGAGGCACGAAAGCGUGGGGAGCAAACAGGAUUAGAUACCCCUGUAGUCCCU
rnacentral:rRNA from 1 species